GUUUUUAGGAAAUGACUAUACCGUGGUGCUUAAGGAGAGCAGAACUUGUGUUUAAGUGUGUCAAAGGUUUCAUGAUGGAAAUGGCUUCAUGGGACGGAGGAAUUUCUAGGACAGUGCAAUUUCUGGUACCACAGAGCAUUUCUGAAGAAAUGUUUUACCAACUUAGUAACAUGCUUCCCCAGAUCUUCCGAGUAUCAUCAACACUCACCCUGACAUCCAAGCACUAAACCCCCUAGAUUGAUAUCUGGCAGAAGAGGAUGCGUAAACUAUCCAGGAACUUGAGAUGUGCUGGGAUUCUGUCAAGCAAAAGAUGCCCAGAAAGAGGACUUGCCACCCACGCCACGAAUCAAAUCAUGAUAAACAUCUGUUAAACGUUCCAAAAUACACGUGCCGUACAGACCAGUGCUCAGCCACUACUUACACAGUUAUUCUUUUUUUGUUCACACACACACACUGUAUUUUAUUUUUACAAGAGAUAAAUAAUCUGACACCAAGCAUUGUAAAUGGAUGACCACAACAAAAGCAACAAUGAUUGCAAUUACCUAACACGAAACACACUCAUACUAUGUCAUAAUAUUGACAUUCAGUCCCGUAAUCCUCCACUGUAGCAGCUCCUUUACUUUGCAGUGAAAAUUGAUUUGUAUAUUUUUUGCCUCUGAGUCCUUGUGGGAUUUUUUUUUUUAUUCAAACGGAAAGUCACAAAAAUUAUAAUCAU